CGGAAGUUCUCUUCCUCUGCGAGCACUUGCUCCCGUGCCCUUUCUUCCUCGAGAGUGUUUAUACCCAGCAACUGCAAGAAAGGUCCCGGACGUAUAUAAAGUCAAAGGAUAAGGGGAUACUGGGCUGCCAGUACCAAACAGGAGUUGGACAUUCUUUGAUCUUGACGGCAGCGAGGCGGAUCUGCUGAAUAAGUUAUGCUUUUUCGACAUCUUGAUUGCACUUCCGGAUCCCAGGGUUUUACUCGUGGCCAUACUGAAAUUCAACGGGGUGGUGGAUACAAAUGUGUCUCUAACGAUGAAAGGGCUGUCAUGACAUCAUCGUGCUCCUUUUUUUGCCUGACGAGCUCAUCUUCGUGUUUGUUCUUCAGUGCUGCAACUUCAUCUGUACGGUUUCGUUUACUACAAGAAUCAAUAUUCUUUACUUAUCUCCAUAAUCAUAAACAUGGGCAUUUUUACCAAAGGAAAUCUAUCAAAGUAGCCGUAUAUUUGUUACAUCUAUACGUCUAUAAACUGUACACAGUCUACAAAAUAAUAUUUUUAAAUAAAAGAACUGUUUAAAAUGUGCAUUUUUUUAUUUUAUGCUAUUUUAUCUUUUGAUAUUUCUAAUCUUGAUUUAUUUUUUGCAUCUAAUAGUUGUCUAAUUAAAAUUAAAUUCAAUAC